AGGGCACCACCAGGAGUGGAGCCUGCGGCUUAAUUUGACUCAACACGGGAAAACUCACCCGGCCCGGACACUGGAAGGAUUGACAGAUUGAGAGCUCUUUCUUGAUUCAGUGGGUGGUGGUGCAUGGCCGUUCUUAGUUGGUGGAGUGAUUUGUCUGGUUAAUUCCGAUAACGAACGAGACUCUAGCCUACUAAAUAGAUCGUCGGCUUACAAACGCCGGCGAGACUUCUUAGAGGGACAGGCGGUGAUUCAACCGCACGAAACAGAGCAAUAACAGGUCUGUGAUGCCCUUAGAUGUCCGGGGCCGCACGCGCGCUACACUGAAGUGAUCAGCGUGCUUUUUCAACCUACUCUGUCAAGAGUGGGGAACCCAAUGAACCUUCUUCGUAAUUGGGAUAGGGGAUUGUAAUUAUUCCCCUUGAACGAGGAAUUCCCAGUAAGCGCGAGUCAUAAGCUCGCGUUGAUUACGUCCCUGCCCUUUGUACACACCGCCCGUCGCUACUACCGAUUGAAUGUUUU
rnacentral:rRNA from 1 species